CCUACGGGUGGCAGCAGUGAGGAAUAUUGGUCAAUGGACGCGAGUCUGAACCAGCCAAGUAGCGUGAAGGAUGACUGCCCUACGGGUUGUAAACUUCUUUUAUAAGGGAAUAAAGUGAGGCACGUGUGCCUUUUUGUAUGUACUUUAUGAAUAAGGAUCGGCUAACUCCGUGCCAGCAGCCGCGGUAAUACGGAGGAUCCGAGCGUUAUCCGGAUUUAUUGGGUUUAAAGGGAGCGUAGGCGGAGGCUUAAGUCAGUUGUGAAAGUUUGCGGCUCAACCGUAAAAUUGCAGUUGAUACUGGCAGCCUUGAGUACAGUUGAGGUAGGCGGAAUUCGUGGUGUAGCGGUGAAAUGCUUAGAUAUCACGAAGAACUCCGAUUGCGAAGGCAGCUUACUAAACUGUAACUGACGCUGAUGCUCGAAAGUGUGGGUAUCAAACAGGAUUAGAUACCCCAGUAGUC
rnacentral:rRNA from 1 species